GACGAACGCUGGCGGCGUGCUUAACACAUGCAAGUCGAACGGAAAGGCCCUGCUUGCAGGGUACUCGAGUGGCGAACGGGUGAGUAACACGUGGGUGAUCUGCCCUGCACUUCGGGAUAAGCCUGGGAAACUGGGUCUAAUACCGGAUAGGAGCCAUUUUUAGUGUGAUGGUUGGAAAGUUUUUUCGGUGUAGGAUGAGCUCGCGGCCUAUCAGCUUGUUGGUGGGGUAAUGGCCUACCAAGGCGACGACGGGUAGCCGGCCUGAGAGGGUGGACGGCCACAUUGGGACUGAGAGACGGCCCAGACUCCUACGGGAGGCAGCAGUGGGGAAUAUUGCACAAUGGGCGCAAGCCUGAUGCAGCGACGCCGCGUGGGGGAUGACGGCCUUCGGGUUGUAAACUCCUUUCGCUAGGGACGAAGCUUUUUGUGACGGUACCUAGAUAAGAAGCACCGGCUAACUACGUG
rnacentral:rRNA from 1 species